AUACUUGCAUUGGCCGGGAAUCGAACCCGGGCCUCCCGCGUGGCAGGCGAGAAUUCUACCACUGAACCACCAAUGCAGGUCCAGAUUCCGUAAUCCUGAAGUAAUAAUACCGAACAGGCAGAGAGAUGCCCUGUAACUUCUCUGUUGGUUGGAGCAAGUCUCCAGAUUGCUGCCUGCGAUCCUACGUGUGCAUCUGCUCUCAGUUUGAUGAAGGGGAAGAAGAAAGUUAUGUUUCUUUUGGGAAUACAGUGCUUCCAGAUUGUAUUCAUUUUUCAAAGUUUUUUCAACUGAUCUGUUCACCUCUGCCUCCACCUUCCCUAUAAUACCAUUAGAUUUGGGAUUCAACAUCCUCAGCAUAUUAAUUUUUCCUCAUGGCAUCUCGUUUUUAUCUCUCUCUGGAAUUCCAUUUUAUUCCUAAUCAUCUGCAUUUUCGGUUUCCUUCCAAGGCUUUGCUGAUGGACCCUUUAGGGACUACACCCUAUCCCAGUUUCUUUUUGUUUUAGUUGCUGAGUCUAGGAGCUCAUGCAUUACCAAAAUUGCCACUAUGGGUCUUGCAAACAACUUUUCAGGAGAGGCGACAAAAGCAGUAAUUAGCUCGGUGUUUCUAAAUGCUACAUUUAGAUUGGACUAGGGGUAUGAGAUACACAGAAUAGAACAUCCAUAGAGAACACAGAUGUGGGGUUUUCGAAAUGUGCUCAGCGUGUCAACAUUCUAAGCAUAGGAUUUUGAUUGUUACUGCUAAGCCUCGGUGAGAGAGGGGCCUUGGUAUUAACUAUUGAAAGCAGGGGGCCUUGUAACUGCUAUUGAAAGCAGAUCUGCAGUGUUUGUAGUCUUUGUUAUGAAAGAUGUUUAGCAUAGUUAGCAUUUUGCUGAUCACCCUAUAGUGUCUUUUUGGCAUUCAAAAUUAAUUAAACCUUUUUUUUUUAAACAAAAAUGUCAACUCUGCCACACCACUCCAGCUGACAGUGCAUUUGACUAGCGCUUUCAGUCCCUAUCACGGAUGUACCUUUAGUUUUGUUUAAAGCAAAGUCACUGUUAAAAAAGAACCUUUUGAAGAAUCUGAAAGGGAGCACUUUUUUUCACCUCUGCUCUGCAUCGUGAAUUAAGAAGCUUCUACAAUUAGGCCUAUUAUUAUUAUAGCAUAUUUCUGGAAACCACUCGAAACACUGACGGGAGUUGAACACCACCAGAAAAACACGCCUCAAGGAAAAAACGAUAGUUCAGAAAUAUUUCCUUGUUGCUCAUCACUGUAAAAAGGACUGAUUUUGAGCUGCCUUAUCCAGAAAAAGUAGGACAGAGGAUUAAUCACCGCCUAGAGACAGGCAAGUAUAUGAAUAUAAUAAACCAGAAAAAACAUCACUGCUACAGGUACCUGGACACCAGUGAUGGAUGCCAUGUAAAUGCUUUUGAAGAUGAGAUAAAUAAGAAAGAUAUUGUUUGAUAACACCCACCAAAGGCACUUUACUUGCAAAAGUAAAUCACCUGGGUU